rnacentral:rRNA from 1 species
GAGUUUGAUCGUGGCUCAGGACGAACGCUGGCGGCGUGCCUAAUACAUGCAAGUCGAGCGAGGGUUUUUAAGACCCUAGCGGCGGACGGGUGAGUAACACGUAGGCAACCUGCCUCUCAGACCGGGAUAACAUAGGGAAACUUAUGCUAAUACCGGAUAGGUUUUUGGAUUGCAUGAUCCGAAAAGAAAAGAUGGCUUUUCGCUAUCACUGGGAGAUGGGCCUGCGGCGCAUUAGCUAGUU